GAACGCUAGCUACAGGCUUAACACAUGCAAGUCGAGGGGCAUCAGUUUGGUUUGCUUGCAAACCAAAGCUGGCGACCGGCGCACGGGUGAGUAACACGUAUCCAACCUGCCUCAUACUCGGGGAUAGCCUUUCGAAAGAAAGAUUAAUAUCCGAUAGCAUAUAUUUCCCGCAUGGGUUUUAUAUUAAAGAAAUUCGGUAUGAGAUGGGGAUGCGUUCCAUUAGUUUGUUGGGGGGGGUAACGGCCCACCAAGACUACGAUGGAUAGGGGUUCUGAGAGGAAGGUCCCCCACAUUGGAACUGAGACACGGUCCAAACUCCUACGGGAGGCAGCAGUGAGGAAUAUUGGUCAAUGGACGCGAGUCUGAACCAGCCAAGUAGCGUGAAGGAUGACUGCCCUAUGGGUUGUAAACUUCUUUUAUAUGGGAAUAAAGUGGUCCACGUGUGGACUUUUGUAUGUACCAUAUGAAUAAGGAUCGGCUAACUCCGUGCCAGCAGCCGCGGUAAUACGGAGGAUCCGAGCGUUAUCCGGAUUUAUUGGGUUUAAAGGGAGCGUAGGCGGAUUGUUAAGUCAGUUGUGAAAGUUUGCGGCUCAACCGUAAAAUUGCAGUUGAUACUGGCAGUCUUGAGUGCAGUAGAGGUGGGCGGAAUUCGUGGUGUAGCGGUGAAAUGCUUAGAUAUCACGAAGAACUCCGAUUGCGAAGGCAGCUCACUGGAGUGUAACUGACGCUGAUGCUCGAAAGUGUGGGUAUCAAACAGGAUUAGAUACCCUGGUAGUCCACACAGUAAACGAUGAAUACUCGCUGUUUGCGAUAUACAGUAAGCGGCCAAGCGAAAGCAUUAAGUAUUCCACCUGGGGAGUACGCCGGCAACGGUGAAACUCAAAGGAAUUGACGGGGGCCCGCACAAGCGGAGGAACAUGUGGUUUAAUUCGAUGAUACGCGAGGAACCUUACCCGGGCUUAAAUUGCAAAUGAAUUAUGGGGAAACCCAUACGCCGCAAGGCAUUUGUGAAGGUGCUGCAUGGUUGUCGUCAGCUCGUGCCGUGAGGUGUCGGCUUAAGUGCCAUAACGAGCGCAACCCUUAUCCUCAGUUACUAACAGGUCAUGCUGAGGACUUUGGAGAGACUGCCGUCGUAAGAUGUGAGGAAGGUGGGGAAGAUGUCAAAUCAGCACGGACCUUAUGUCCGGGGCUACGCAUGGGUUACAAGGGGGGGUACAGA
rnacentral:rRNA from 1 species